rnacentral:rRNA from 1 species
UACGGAGGGUGCAAACGUUGCUCGGAAUCACUGGGCGUAAAGCGCACGUAGGCGGGUCGGUAUGUCGGGUGUGAAAUCCCCGGGCUCAACCUGGGAAGUGCAUUCGAAACUGCCGACCUUGAGUACGGGAGAGGAUCGCGGAAUUCCCGGUGUAGAGGUGAAAUUCGUAGAUAUCGGGAGGAACACCAGUGGCGAAGGCGGCGAUCUGGACCGAUACUGACGCUGAGGUGCGAAAGCUAGGGGAGCAAACGGG